AGUGAACGCUGGCGGUAGGCCUAACACAUGCAAGUCGAACGGCAGCACAGGAGAGCUUGCUCUCUGGGUGGCGAGUGGCGGACGGGUGAGGAAUACAUCGGAAUCUACUUUUUCGUGGGGGAUAACGUAGGGAAACUUACGCUAAUACCGCAUACGACCUACGGGUGAAAGCAGGGGACCUUCGGGCCUUGCGCGAUUGAAUGAGCCGAUGUCGGAUUAGCUAGUUGGCGGGGUAAAGGCCCACCAAGGCGACGAUCCGUAGCUGGUCUGAAAGGAUGAUCAGCCACACUGGAACUGGGACACGGUCCAGACUCCUACGGGGGGCAGCAGUGGGGAAUAUUGGACAAUGGGCGCAAGCCUGAUCCAGCCAUACCGCGUGGGUGAAGAAGGCCUUCGGGUUGUGAAGCCCUUUUGUUGGGAAAGAAAUCCAGCUGGCUAAUACCCGGUUGGGAUGACGGUACCCAAAGAAUAAGCACCGGCUAACUUCGUGCCAGCCGCCGCCGUAA
rnacentral:rRNA from 1 species